UACAGAGGUCUCAAGCGUUGUUCGGAUUCAUUGGGCGUAAAGGGUGCGUAGGCGGCGCGGUAAGUCGGGUGUGAAAUCCUGGAGCUCAACUCCAGAACUGCCUUUGAUACUGAGGAUCUCGAGUCCGGGAGAGGUGAGUGGAACUGCGAGUGUAGAGGUGAAAUUCGUAGAUAUUCGCAAGAACACCAGUGGCGAAGGCGGCUCACUGGCCCGGUACUGACGCUGAGGUGCGAAAGCGUGGGGAGCAAACAGG
rnacentral:rRNA from 1 species